rnacentral:rRNA from 1 species
UAAGGAAUAUUGGACAAUGGUCGCAAGACUGAUCCAGCCAUGCCGCGUGCAGGAAGACGGCCCUAUGGGUUGUAAACUGCUUUUGUACCAGAGAAAACCUAUCUACGUGUAGAUAGCUGAUAGUAUGGUAAGAAUAAGCAUCGGCUAACUUCGUGCCAGCAGCCGCGGUAAGACGAAGGAUGCAAGCGUUAUCCGGAUUCAUUGGGUUUAAAGGGUGCGUAGGCGGGCUUGUAAGUCAGUGGUGAAAUCUCUCAGCUUAACUGAGAAACUGCCACUGAUACUGCAGGCCUAGAGUAUAGAUGACGUUGGCGGAAUAUGACAUGUAGUGGUGAAAUACUUAGAUAUGUCAUAGAACACCGAUUGCGAAGGCAGCUAACGAAACUAUAACUGACGCUGAGGCACGAAAGUGCGGGGAUCAAACA